GUGAACUGGUACGCUCAAGCAUGUCAAUGUCCACUCGAUUUCCUCAUAUUAUCUGAAUUCAACAGAUCGAUUUGAGGACCUGAUUUCUUGUUUCUUAUUGAAAUUUUUUUUUCGCUGAGUUUGUUUGAUUUGAAAUUCUAGGGUUCUUUUAAAGGAAGGAUGGGAUUUAUCAUGGAAUUCGCCGAGAAUUUGGUUCUGAGGUUGAUGGAGGAUCCGAAGGAGAGGGAUCGCAAAUUCAGGGAGCACGUAUAUGCUGUGAAGGAUCGAUGCAACAAGACCAAAGAGAUGUGGAGUUAUCCACUUCGCCCUUAUGGGUUCUGGACAUUUGAGCGCCACAAUGCCCAGCUCGCUUGGGAUGCUCAGAUUAGCCAGGUGCCCGGCCGUAGGGACCCCUACGAUGACCUCCUCCAAGAAAGCUAUGGCUCCCCCAAAUGAACAUUGUGA
rnacentral:misc_RNA from 1 species